rnacentral:pre_miRNA from 1 species
GAGACAGAGCCGGGUAUGGGCAGAGGGACCGAGGGCCCCGGAACUCGAGCCGCAGCGAGAUCCGACCCGGUCGAGCCCCUGGGGCUGUCCGUCCUGCUGUCCGGGUCCUCGUUCUGGAUGAGUCUC